AUUCUCUCUUCAUAAAUUUAUAUGAUGCCUUAUUGAGAUUGAUAAAGACAAUUCUCUCUUCUCUAUCCUCUCUUUUCAUGGAAAUUCUCAUUUUUAUUCUUCCCAAUUUCUUAACCCUUCUCUUUAAAUCCCAAAUAACUUCAAUGCAUUCAGACUACCAGAUUUCUUUACCUCAAUCAAUUUCUUUCUUUUGUUUGAUAUCUAACGAUGGAAGCAGGAGUCGCAAUUAAUAUGAGCCAAGCGUCAGAGAAUCAUAUGAACUCUAGGGAUCCAGCGUUAUAUAGGCAUAAUCUGAAGCCGAAAUUUUAUACAUCGUAGAGCGACAGGAACCUAGGGAAAGCGAUUCCUUUGUUGUCCAAAAUGGAGCCAAAGGGUGUUAUUAGAGAAGCAAAUGAAGCUGAUGCAAGAGGAGACAUUAAUUGGUGAGAUGGUUAUUUGAACUGGAGGACAAAUGCAUAAGAAGAGAAGGAGACCUCAAUUGCAUUAGAGACUGCAAUGAGCCUAUGACUUGAGAUAAACUCCUUGAAGUUUCAAAAUGCUCGGAUGGAAUACAACUUCAAGUUAUACAUGAUCUGUACAUUGUGUAUGUAAACAAUUAUAUUUGUAACUCUGAAUUAGAUGAGGUUUAGGAAUUGCUAAUUAUUUGCCUAAAAAGAUUUUUUAUUUGUAAGUCUUACUGGGAACAUAUAGGUAUAUGUAUGUGGAAUAUAAUUGUUAAGUGGAGUAUGUGUAUCUGGUAGACAUGUGCAAAUGGCAGUAAGAAUUCUGCUUAUAUGCAGAUGGCAUUGUAAAAUUUGGUAUCUGAUCUAAUGAAAAUAUGGCUUUCAAAGCCUUUUUGGUACAAUUUGUUCAAAGAGUCUUGUUUUGGCCACUGCACAUAUGCAGAUUCUCUUAUUUUUCAUAAUGAACUGUAGCUAUUUGUGUUUGUCAUUGGUUUGGACAAUUGUAUCUAUUUGAGUGAUAAAACUAAAAUGAACACAGACUCUUAUAACUAACAGACUAUUAUAAUUAAACGAAAUAAACAAAUAAAGCUAAAAUGGACAUUAUAUUAAACAAAUAACUAAAGAAAAAGCUCCAAAAGAAAUUAGUUCUAUUGGAAGGUGCAUGAUAAUUCAAAAUUGACAAACACCAUGUAAAUAAAAUCAUUUUUACCAAAUGCUGCAUACUAUUGAGUAAAGCCACAAUCAACAACAAAUAUUAGGCAUGUUAAGAAAAUCAAAUUGGCCAGCAACAUAUUCAAAUGGAAUACGUUUAUGUCCAAGCCAAUCA